rnacentral:lncRNA from 1 species
CACUUCUAUUUGAAAUAUAUGUGUGUGUCCUAACACUUUCAUGUUGAACUUAUUUUGAAAUUCCCUGUAGAUUGAGAGUUAUGCCCUAGAAUGUGAGGGUAUAUCACUGUUCAUAGUUGUAGGAAUUCUAGCAACUGUCACCCACAUUGUUUCGAGAUUUUGACUGAUAAAAAGAUGUCCAACUGCCUUAAAAUCCCAUCCAUGUUAAAUAUCCAUGUUUAAAAUUAAAGUUUUAUGUCUAAAUAAUGUUGAAAUUCUCCUUAGAUUGGGAGAUAUGCCCCCGAGAAGAGGGGUAUGUCACUACUAUGCACUACCGAGAUUUUCAGAUUUGUGCCUAUUUCAAAAGCAAAUAGUUUUGCACUCAAACUCUACCCAAAUGUGUUCAAAACAUUUUUAUAUGAAUCAUGAGUAAUU